GAGAGAGAGGGUUGGGGGGUGGGGUGAUGGGUGGAGGCAGAGGCGAGAUGGACUGACUGCUAGACCGGAAGGACCAUGCUGCCUGCUCCCGGAAGUGCGUCACGGUGAAAGCGCCCUAUACCUGACACUGGGGGAUCGUUCAUGAAGACGCCGAGACCGCAACUGUAUCCAAAGGAUCAUAAAUCUUUUAAGUGUUAAGAGCAACAUGGUUUUGAUAAAAGGAGCCGAAAGGGAGCAGCCUGAUCUCCCCACAUGGAACCUCGUGGCCCACUUGACUCAAACGGAGCAGCAAAGGCCUCAGCAAAGUCAAAACCUUUUGAAAUGUAGAACCUGCCAAAGGAUGAAUUGACGAUGAAUGCAGGACCUCAUGUCGAAGGAGAAUGGCAGUCAGUCAAAACCAUUUGAAAUGUAGAACCUGCCCAGAGACUGAUGGUGAUUGCAAGACGUCAUGGGAGUAGGAAAAUGGCAGUCAGAUCCCAGGUGAAGUGCUGUAGUCCCAAGAACAGGCAAUACAAUUGGAAGGAUGUGGUCUUCAAAUCCAAUUUUUAGGCCACUGUCAGAAAUUCUUUUUGUAACUCAAUAUUCUUUAUGCAAGGAGCAACCAGAUGUGGAACUGAAAGAGAGUACACUGCAUCUUCUGUUAUGACUUCAGUGUAAUUGAUGCCGUUUUUUGGUGUAAGGAGUGCUUUUCCAAGUUGAGCACCCGCUUCAGUGCUUAUCGCAAUGUACUCAAUUCACCUUUAUCAAAAUGAUUUUAAAAACUGAUAUGUUGAUACUUGAUGCAAACUCUUCUGUGGGGGGGAGAUUGACUUGAGUCCAAAAGCAAAUGCCUCUGCAUUUAAAUGCAAAUUCAUUUGAGUUUGCAUCUCCACUUCAUCAAGUGGAAUCCAAAUGAAAUGAGCGACUUCAUGGUUUCCAUACACAAGUGGAGUCCGAAUGAUCCUCGGCAAGUCCAAACGAAUACAGCCCUCGUUCCUCGGUAACCUGCUGCCCAUAUCUUUUGUGGACAGUCAGUCUUUCCACACAAUCUGGCUAUCAAAUACGACGGUCAAACCAUUUAUGCAGACGUUAACUGAACGCUACCAGUCACUGCACAAAAAUAUUCAACUGUGCCCAAUCCGUGUGUCGAUUAACUGCUGAUAUCUGAUCGAACAGACCAGCGUGCUUUCGCUGUUACUGGGCAUGUGGUAAUGGACUACACCUUGAAAUCCGUUCUGCUUGAAUGUAGGCGGAUACCAGGCCAUCACACAUUCACCAGUACUAUGAGGAAAUCACCGAAUCCUUUUUUAUUGGCAAUAAGAUUACCACUAUUGUUACUGACAGCGCAACCAAUAUGGUGGCCGCCUUCAGUCUGCCUGGGUUUAUUGCCACACUGGUUAACAACGACAAGAAUGGCUUGGGAGCCUCCGAUAUUGAUUCUGAGGCUGAUGCUAAGGUUCAGCCCACCUCAAACACACCAACCAGUGACAAACUGAUGGAGAACAUGCCAGCUCACCAGCGGUGUUUUAAUCAAGCUCUGCAUCUGAUUCUUAAUGAAGCCAGAUGGAAUAGGCAAAUCAUUACCAAAAUUUCUGCAAUCGUCUCUCAUAUCAGAAAAUCUGCUAUGCUACUGCUAUUCUGGAGAAACACCUAUACAAGCCCAAAUGGUUCUCGAUCCUAAGUUUAAACUGCGAUGGUGUGCUUAACCAGAAAGGCCCUGAAACAAGACCUGGUCCGAGCAUUAUCAUAACCACGAAAAGGCGACGCACCUGCAAAUAGCACAGGUCCUCCAGUGAUAUGGAGGCUGAAACCCGCACUAGAUUAAACCGAAGUAGACGAAUACCUAUGGGAGGCUGCUCUGCCUUUUGCAGCUGACCCGUUCAACUACUGGAGAGACAACCAGCUGGGGUUCCCUCGUUUGCUGCUGUAAGCAAGAUAUUAUUUGUGUGUACCCUCUUCAUCCAGUGCUGUAGAAAGAGUUUUCAGUUAUUGCAGGGAAGAUAUUUAAUCCAGAAAGAGCCCAAAUCACUGACGAGAAUUUUGGUAUGCAACUUUUUAUUAAAUGCAGUGAGUUUUGUGUGUGAACUUGUGAUAAUUUUGACAGGUUUUGACUCUUGUAUUGACUUUUACGUGUAAAGAUGUGGAUUGUAAAUGCUCUUUUAAGUGCUGCAUUUUUUCUGCCUGAAUAGAAAAUGCCACAUGGGCAUCCAGGACAUUGGUAAAUACAUUUGAAUUUGCAUGUGUACAUUUACAGGAUACGUGCAUUUGCAUUCAAAAUACAUUUGCCUACAUUUGAGGCCAAGUCUGGUCUCGAUCCUAUUCACCCAUGUUAAACUUUAUAAGAAAUGUCAAAAUAAAGUGUGUCAUUCUUGGUCUUUCAUUAGGUUGAACAAAAUAAAACAAUAUCUGAAUC